rnacentral:ncRNA from 1 species
GCAAAAACAAUGAAAAGGAAAAGUAAAUAAUGUAUUGCUUUUAGAGAGGGGGAUUCAUAGGCUGUAAUAUUCCCUAAGUUAAUAUUUAUUGAAAACCACCUUUGAGUUGUAUACUGAAAUUUAAUAGUAGGUAUUUCCGCAGAUCUGCGUUAUGGAUAUUGAGAGACAGUAAUGGCUUUUAAGUAAUGGAUGAAUAUCCUAGGCUGUAAUGGGGCUUAGUUAUUUUAGUGAUAACUAAAAAUUGACACUGUUAAUUGGGUGGAAACGCGAUAAAACUCGUCCCAGUA